GACAGAGGUCUCAAGCGUUAGGCGGAAUCACUGGGCUUAAAGCGUGUGUAGGCGGAUCGUUAAGUGCUUUGUGAAAUCCCACAGCUCAACUGUGGAACUGCUUGGCAUACUGGCGGUCUUGAGCCAUCUAGGGGCCGCUGGAACAAACGGUGGAGCGGUGAAAUGCGUAGAUAUCGUUUGGAACGCCAAUGGUGAAAACAGGCGACUGGGGAUGUGCUGACGCUGAGACACGAAAGCCAGGGGAGCAAACGGG
rnacentral:rRNA from 1 species